GACGAACGCUGGCGGCGCGCUUAACACAUGCAAGUCGAGCGAUGAAAUUUCGACAGAUCCCUUCGGGGUGAAGAUGAAAUGGAUUAGCGGCGGACGGGUGAGUAACACGUGAGUAACCUGCCUUUGACAUUGGGAUAGCCUCGGGAAACUGGGAUUAAUACCAAAUGACACUAACUGAUCACAUGAUCAAUUAGUCAAAGAAAUUCGGUCAAAGAUGGACUCGCGGCUGAUUAGCUAGUUGGUGAGGUAACGGCCCACCAAGGCGACGAUCAGUAGCCGGCCUGAGAGGGUGAUCGGCCACAUUGGAACUAAGACACGGUCCAAACUCCUACGGGAGGCAGCAGUGGGGAAUAUUGCACAAUGGGGGAAACCCUGAUGCAGCGACGCCGCGUGAGCGAAGAAGGCCUUCGGGUCGUAAAGCUCUUUUAUGAGGGAAGAUAAUGACGGUACCUCAAGAAAAAGCCCCGGCUAACUACGUG
rnacentral:rRNA from 1 species